UCUUUAAUACUGACAGGGAUCAAUCACUCGUAUAUAACAAAAAUAAUUGAUUUGAGGAUUUAUUGUCAUUGGCAGUGUAACAUCCAGUUAAACAGAAAAAUGUUGUCUGAGUUAGCCAUCCAUGAACCUAGGUCUUUUAAGAGUCUUGCAGAUCUUGCAAAGCGACGCCUUGAAGACGGAUUAUUGGCAGCUAUUAGAUAAUCUAAUUAGUUAACAUUAAUUUAAAUUUCGUUUUUAAUCGGCAUUUCGUUGUAUAUACUGUGUAAGAUAUGUGAUUAAAAGUUCAUUUUCGUUUUAAAA